CAUGCCUAACACAUGCAAGUCGAACGAAGGCUUCGGCCUUAGUGGCGCACGGGUGCGUAACGCGUGGGAAUCUGCCCUUAGGUUCGGAAUAACAGCUGGAAACGGCUGCUAAUACCGGAUGAUGACGAAAGUCCAAAGAUUUAUCGCCUGAGGAUGAGCCCGCGUUGGAUUAGGUAGUUGGUGGGGUAAAGGCCUACCAAGCCGACGAUCCAUAGCUGGUCUGAGAGGAUGAUCAGCCACACUGGGACUGAGACACGGCCCAGACUCCUACGGGAGGCAGCAGUGGGGAAUAUUGGACAAUGGGCGAAAGCCUGAUCCAGCAAUGCCGCGUGAGUGAUGAAGGCCCUAGGGUUGUAAAGCUCUUUUACCCGGGAAGAUAAUGACUGUACCGGGAGAAUAAGCCCCGGCUAACUCCGUGCCAGCAGCCGCGGUAAUACGGAGGGGGCUAGCGUUGUUCGGAAUUACUGGGCGUAAAGCGCACGUAGGCGGCUUUGUAAGUCAGAGGUGAAAGCCUGGAGCUCAACUCCAGAACUGCCUUUGAGACUGCAUCGCUUGAAUCCAGGAGAGGUCAGUGGAAUUCCGAGUGUAGAGGUGAAAUUCGUAGAUAUUCGGAAGAACACCAGUGGCGAAGGCGGCUGACUGGACUGGUAUUGACGCUGAGGUGCGAAAGCGUGGGGAGCAAACAGG
rnacentral:rRNA from 1 species